rnacentral:rRNA from 1 species
GAUGAACGCUGGCGGCGUGCCUAAUACAUGCAAGUCGAGCGAGCAGACGAGGAGCUUGCUCCUCUGACGUUAGCGGCGGACGGGUGAGUAACACGUGGAUAACCUACCUAUAAGACUGGGAUAACUUCGGGAAACCGGAGCUAAUACCGGAUAAUAUAUUGAACCGCAUGGUUCAAUAGUGAAAGACGGUUUUGCUGUCACUUAUAGAUGGAUCCGCGCCGCAUUAGCUAGUUGGUAAGGUAAUGGCUUACCAAGGCAACGAUGCGUAGCCGACCUGAGAGGGUGAUCGGCCACACUGGAACUGAGACACGGUCCAGACUCCUACGGGAGGCAGCAGUAGGGAAUCUUCCGCAAUGGGCGAAAGCUUGACGGAGCAACGCCGCGUGAGUGAUGAAGGUCUUCGGAUCGUAAAACUCUGUUAUUAGGGAAGAACAAAUGUGUAAGUAACUAUGCACGUCUUGACGGUACCUAAUCAGAAAGCCACGGCUAACUACGUG